rnacentral:rRNA from 1 species
GAUGAACGCUGGCGGCGUGCCUAAUACAUGCAAGUCGAGCGAACAGACGAGGAGCUUGCUCCUCUGACGUUAGCGGCGGACGGGUGAGUAACACGUGGAUAACCUACCUAUAAGACUGGGAUAACUUCGGGAAACCGGAGCUAAUACCGGAUAAUAUAUUGAACCGCAUGGUUCAAUAGUGAAAGACGGUUUUGCUGUCACUUAUAGAUGGAUCCGCGCCGCAUUAGCUAGUUGGUAAGGUAACGGCUUACCAAGGCAACGAUGCGUAGCCGACCUGAGAGGGUGAUCGGCCACACUGGAACUGAGACACGGACCAGACUCCUACGGGAGGCAGCAGUAGGGAAUCUUACGCAAUGGGCGAAAGCCUGACGGAGCAACGCCGCGUGAGUGAUGAAGGUCUUCGGAUCGUAAAACUCUGUUAUUAGGGAAGAACAAAUGUGUAAGUAAAUAUGCACGUCUUGACGGUACCUAAUCAGAAAGCCACGGCUAACUACGUG